AUUGAACGCUGGCGGCAUGCUUUACACAUGCAAGUCGAACGGCAGCGCGGGCUUCGGCCUGGCGGCGCGUGGCGAACGGGUGAGUAAUACAUCGGAACGUGCCCCGGAGUGGGGGAUAGCUCGGCGAAAGCCGGAUUAAUACCGCAUACGAUCUGAGGGUGAAAGCGGGGGAUCUUCGGACCUCGUGCUAUUUGAGCGGCCGAUGGCAGAUUAGCUAGUUGGUGGGGUUAUGGCCUACCAAGGCGACGAUCUGUAGCUGGUCUGAGAGGACGGCCUGCCACACUGGGACUGGGACAGGGCCCAGGCGCCUGCGGGAGGGCGCAGGGGGGAAUUUUGGACAAUGGGGGGAAGCAUGAUCCAGUAAUGCGGCGUGUGUGAUACAGGCGUUGGGGUUGUAAAGCACUUUUGGCGGGAACGAAAAGGACUGUGCCAAUACCACGGUUCGAUGACGGUACCCGCAGAAUAAGCACCGGCUAACUACGUG
rnacentral:rRNA from 1 species